UUGAAAUAAACCUUGAUGGGUUGCUGCUGGCUCUCCAGGGAGCAUGUGCACACUCGUCAUCUUUAUAUCCACCUGUGCAUCUUUUGUAGACCUGGAUAAUCUCUCUGAAUGCCUAGCACUCAGGUUUGAGGAUUGACUUUCCAGAAGUCUUUCCUUCCACUUCCAGGCCUAUGUUUCUUCAUAUACCCCCCAAUGUAUGUUAUAGAAUGUAAUAAACAGGCCUUUGUGCCUAUCAAACCUAUA
rnacentral:misc_RNA from 1 species